GCACUUUCUGCGAGAGGUCUGCUCCUGUAUUCUCCUCUGGGAUCUGGACGUUGCUCGCAUCUUAACGCCCGGCUACUCUGUGCCAGCAGCCGCGGUAAUACAGAGGGUGCGAGCGUUAUCGGAUUUACUGGGCGUAAAGCGUGCGUAGGCGGCUUUAUAAGUCGGAUGUGAAAUCCCCGAGCUUAACUUGGGAAUUGCAUUCGAUACUGGGAAGCUAGAGUAUGGGAGAGGAUGGUAGAAUUCCAAGUGUAGCGGUGAAAUGCGUAGAGAUCUGGAGGAAUACCGAUGGCGAAGGCAGCCAUCUGGCCUAAUACUGACGCUGAGGUACGAAAGCAUGGGGAGCAAACAGGAUUAGAUACCCUGGUAGUCCAUGCCGUAAACGAUGUCUACUAGCCGUUGGGGCCUUUGAGGCUUUAGUGGCGCAGCUAACGCGAUAAGUAGACCGCCUGGGGAGUACGGUCGCAAGACUAAAACUCAAAUGAAUUGACGGGGGCCCGCACAAGCGGUGGAGCAUGUGGUUGAAUUCGAUGCAACGCGAAGAACCUUACCUGGCCUUGACAUACUAGAACUUUCCAGAGAUGGAUUGGUGCC
rnacentral:rRNA from 1 species